GACGAACGCUGGCGGCGUGCCUAAUACAUGCAAGUAGAACGCUGAAGCUUGGUGCUUGCACCGAGCGGAUGAGUUGCGAACGGGUGAGUAACGCGUAGGUAACCUGCCUGGUAGCGGGGGAUAACUAUUGGAAACGAUAGCUAAUACCGCAUAACAGUAGAUAUCGCAUGAUAGCUACUUGAAAGGUGCAAAUGCACCACUACCAGAUGGACCUGCGUUGUAUUAGCUAGUUGGUGAGGUAACGGCUCACCAAGGCAACGAUACAUAGCCGACCUGAGAGGGUGAUCGGCCACACUGGGACUGAGACACGGCCCAGACUCCUACGGGAGGCAGCAGUAGGGAAUCUUCGGCAAUGGACGGAAGUCUGACCGAGCAACGCCGCGUGAGUGAAGAAGGUUUUCGGAUCGUAAAGCUCUGUUGUAAGAGAAGAACGAGUGUGAGAGUGGAAAGUGCACACUGUGACGGUAUCUUACCAGAAAGGGACGGCUAACUACGU
rnacentral:rRNA from 1 species